rnacentral:lncRNA from 1 species
UUUUUUUUUAAUUCAAAUUGUAACAUCUAUAACAAUACCAAGCAUAUCAAGUUUCAACAAGCAAAAAACUCUUAAGAGAUUAAAAUCCACAUGCAAUAGCUGUGGUGCUACUCAGAUCCACUUUCAUUUCCAUGAGACUAUAGUGCUAAACGAAAACAGAAAUGAGAAAACAGCAUAACCCAAAACUGCCUUGUAAAUUCUGUUCCAAUGUCAACCUCUCAACGAUUGGCCUUGGCAACUCUUUCAAACUCAUCCUUCUUCUUAAUGGCAUAGCUAUUUGAAGAACCCUUGGUAGCAUUGAUAAGUUCAUCAGCAACGCACUCAGCUAUGGUCUUGAUGUUCCUGAAAGCACUCUCACGUGCACCAGUUGUCAGCAAAUAAAUGGCCUGGUUAACACGGCGAAGUGGAGAAAUAUCAACAGCCUGACGCUUCACAACACCAGCUGAACCAAUACGAGUUGCAUCUUCCCUUGGCCCAUUGUUAAUGACGGCAUCAACAAUGACUUGAAUUGGGUUCUGGUCAGUCAACAAAUGAAUGAUCUCCAUUGCAUGCUUGAUGAUGCGGACAGCCAUUAGCUUCUUUCCAUUGUUCCGUCCAUGCAUCAUAAGAGAGAUUGGCGAGCCUCUCAACAAUUGGGCACUGGGCCUUCCUGAAACGCUUAGCCUGGUAUCUACCAGCUGUGUGUGGCAUAUAAACUGGAUGCUUGGAAACAGUUGCUAUGAUGUAAUCCUCAACAGAGAUGUCAUUGAUCUGGACAUCGACGUAGUUCCAGCGAUUGAAAAGCAUAACAUCACUGUGAAUCUUUUUCUCUGCGGUUGCGUCUACUGGGGCGGCUACUACACCUGCGUCCAUUUUUUCUUCACCUGCUUACGCCUUACGGGAGGAGUCUUUGCUGCUCUGCUACUUGUUUAAUACUACUCUAUGCGCACCAUUUUUUUGCAGAUAUUAUAUUGGUGGAUAAUAAACUCAUCAUGUGGACCAGUAUUAUAAUGACAGGUGCAAUAGGAGUCAAAGCGAUAAUGAUGAAUGAUGUGCAAAGAAGAUAUGAAAAAUACCAACGGGGUCGUCUAUGAAAAUAUCGUGCAUGUUAGUUGGAUAAGAGAAAACAAGUACGAGGCUGAUAAUUAAGGCCAUUGGAAGACACAAUAAUAAAAAGGUCAUUAGUAACUACGAAUAUAGAAGAAAAUCAGUCGAAUUCCUUGAUUGUGCGAGAUUUGUUGUUAUUGCCUCAUCUAUUAUAAAUUGCUCACUUAAUAAGUAAUUAAUGUAAUAAAUAUUAGUAAUGGGUUAGGAAUUAAAUACGAUAAAGAGUUACAAAUUGUAAUACUAUAUAAGCCUCCCUUCCAUAACUUGUACCCCCGUUAAGAGAACUGUAGAUUAUACUAUCAAUUAUCAACAUUCUUGUUGUUCUCUAUUAUUGGAAGAUUUUGUUCAUUCCUACUGAAAGAAAGUAGCAAUCAUUAAUAAGAUUUUUAUUUACUUAUUCUUUUAAUUUUAUUCACCAUUAUUGUUAUUCGUUUUCAUAUCAAUCAUAAUUGAAAGCGGAAUAAAUUGGUUAUUACAAACCUAAAUUAUUAUAUUUAUUUGUUUAGUCUACGAAAACUAUUUUUUUAUUUAAAAAAUUUGUUCUGUUACUGGAAUACUAACAAUCGUUUCACUUUCCAUUUACGCAUUUUCACUUCAGCAAUAAAUUAUGUCUGAAACUGAUCAAAUCACUCAGUAGAGAAUGGACAUGGCAGUAGCAGAAGCUUUAGUUUUGGCAGAAGAAUCAGAUUUUGAAGAGCUUCUCUUAGAAGAGAAAGUGUUUCUAUUCACCACCGAACCUAGGCUAAGAAGCCUACCGCCCCUUCUUCUACUCAUAACCGAAGCUAUUGUAAAAGGAAGGUCGUUGACUAUGAUAGUAUGACGAGAAGGGGCAGAAGAUGCAGAAGGGAUUGAAGAGUUGGAGGCCAUUGUUAAUAAGAAGGAAGGAAGUUAUACGAAGAAGAAGAGGAUCACUAAGAGGAUUUGUGAAAGAAGGUAAAGAGAAAGGAAAGCAGAAGAGGUUUUAGAGGGCUAAUGAUUUCGUAUUUAUAAGGAAAAAAUGUCAUCAUGAUACUGUUUAUCACGAUCCAAAAUUCACCAAGUCGUGAUGGCACCUAACCCAGUGCUAGGUAAGCCUAGCAUAGAAAUAGAUAAUCCAAGUGAAAGAUCAAAACAAGAAGAAUAAUAAUAACUAAAUUCUAUAUAACUUCCCAAGAACUGGUUGUACAAAUCAUGAAUACUAUAAUUUAGAUUUACAAUUUUUUAUAAAGAAUAAAUACAAUAUAUAUUUGAAAUUUACAUAAACAGAAUUUAAAAUUCUAAACUACCAUGAACAAAAUGUGACGAUCCGGCCAGUCGGCUUAAGAAAUUAUGCCUCGAUCCCCUAUUAACUGCUUUUCCCAAGUUUAGUUACGCUAUUUUGAUUUGCCAGGAUGUUCGGUUUUGAGUUUCGGAGAGUUUUGAGACACUUAGCCCCUAAAUGAGAGCUUAAAUGUUGGAAAGUUAACUGUAGCUGGAACAGUGUGAAGACGGCCUCAAAAUGAAAAUUCAAUGGUUUUGUUAGCUUCGUUAGGUGAUUUCGGAUUUAGAGGCAUGAUCAGAUUGUGUUUUGGAGGUCCGUAGCUAAUUUUGUCUUGGAAUGCCUAAAGUUGAAUUUUUGAAGUUUCUGGUUCGAUAGUGAGAUUUUGAUCUGAGGGUCGGAAUAGAAUUCCGGAAGUUGAAGUAGCUCUGUAGUGUUGAAUUUGACGUGUUUGCAAAAUUUUAGGUCAUUCGGACGAGGUUUGAUAGACUUUUUGAUCAAAAACGUAUUUUGAGAAUUUUGGAGUUCUUAGGUUUGAAAUCAAUGGUUAAUUUGAGGUUCCAAUGUUGUUUUAGGUGUUCUAAGGAUUGGUACAAGUUUGGAUUGUUUUUUGUGACUUGUUGGUGCCUUUGGUUGAGGUCCUAGAGGCCUCGGGAUGAUUUCAGAUGGUUGACAGAAGAAUUUUGGGAGUUGGAAGGUUGCAACUUUAGCUGAUAUCUAUCAUAACUGCACCUGCGGUUUGGGUUCCGCAGGCGCGGAGCCGCAUAAGUGGCUAUUACAUCGCAGAAGAGGAAAAAGGGAGGGCCAGCAUAGACCGCAGAAGCGGACGCUCCAUCGAAGAAGCACGUCCGCAGAAGCGGACUCCUUGUCCGCAGAUUCGGAAACCGCCGUAGAAGCGAGAUCUCUUCUCGUACCUGCGAGACCGCAGGUGCAGCUCAUCUUGUUGCAGAUGUGAAACUCGUUGGACAGAAUGUAAAUUUGGAGCUCCGGGAGAGGCGAUAUUCGGGAUAUUUUUAAUAGAAACAACGGGGUAAGUGUUCUUAACUUAAUUUUGGUUAGAUUAUUCGAAUCUAUUACUAGUUUUCGCAUUAAAUCUAUGAAUUUAGUUGGAAGAGUUUCAAAAUCCUCCCAAAUAGAUUUGAGGAUUUGAGGGUCGAAUAUUAUGGGAUUUGGAUAAUUUUGGUAUAGUUAGACUCGUGAGAGGGCGAGGUUUCUGGAAAUAUAAAUUUUACCCGAUUCCAAAACAUGGGCCCGAGGGGCGUUUUGGUCAUUUUUCAUAAUUUCACGUAUUAGUUUAGAAUUUAAUUGUAGAAUUAGUUACUUGAAGUAUUAUUUACAUUAUGAAAUUGAAUUGAAUAGAUUUGGGCCAUUUGGAGUCGAGUACUCGUGGCAAGAAAGUGGUUUCAUAUUGAAUUUUGAGCCGGUUCAAGGUAAGUGACUUGUCUAACCUUGCGUGGGGGACUUUCCCUUUAGGAUUGGUAUUGUGAUAGUUGAAAUGCCUUGUACGUGAGGUGACGAGUGCAUAGUUAUGCUAAUUGUUGAAAAUUCGGUUUUCAUUAAGUAACUUUAAUUGUGUUUUCCCUUUCUAUUUAUUAUACUUGCACUUUUAAACCUGCUGUUAGUUAGAGAAACAUGCCCAAUUGACUUAAAUUGCUUUAUUUGCUUUAACUGCCUUAUUUGAAUUACGUGAAGCAUGUUAGGUUAGAAUUUUCUGGGUUACCUUGUUAUGAAGUUGAGUUUAUUUGAGUAUUCCUUGUGUCUAGGAUACCAAGAGAUCCUCGGGAUAAUAUGAGAUCCCUAUUAUACAUUGAGGAUACCAAGAAAUCCUCGGGAUACCAAGAGAUCCCUAUCAUACAUUGAGGAUACCAAGAGAUCCUCGGGAUACCAAGAGAUCCCUAGCAUAUAUUGAGGAUACCGAGAGAUCAUCGGGAUACCAAGAGAUCCUCGGUAUACCAAGAGAUCCCUGACAUAUAUUGAGGAUACCGAGAGAUACUCGGGAUACCAAGAGAUCCCUAGCAUAUAUUGAGGAUACCGAGAGAUCCUCGGGAUACCAAGAGAUCUCUGACAUAUAUUGAGGGUACUAAGAGAUCCUCGGGAUACUAAGAGAUCCAUGGUUACUUCCUUGUGGUUUGCCUUCAUCUCUGUUUUCCGUUAUUGUACUCUUAUUAUCCUGUAUAGAUUCUUACUGUAGAUUCUCAACUUAUCUACUACUUAUCUUAUCCUGUCAUCUUUAUACUUAUUUAAUUUCUGUAGGGCCCUGACCUUCCUUGUCACUAUCCAACCGAGGUUAGGCUUGGUACUUACUGAGUACCACUACGGUGUGCUCAUGCCCCUUCUGCGUAUGUUUUUCAUGUGCAAAUCUAGGUACCACUACUCAGGCCUACCAUCAUUGAGGAGGCGACUGCUCUAGAGAUUUCCAGGUACAUCUUUCGCGUCUGCAGACCAAGAAGUCCCUUUCUAUUCCUGCUUUUAGUAUUUAUCCCUUCUGUAUUUUUCUUUUCUUAUUAGACAUUCCGGAGUUAGAGCUAUGUAGUGUUUUUCUUAGCUUGUGAUUCGUGGAUUUUCGGGUAUUGGAUUUAUGUAUUAGUAUUAAGAGUUAAACAUGCUGUAAGCCGAGUGACACAUUUAAACACUGUUACUACUUUAUUUCUGUUUUAAAUUGUUUACUUCUGCAAAUUUUGGUUUUUCUUCCGCAAAUUAGGCUUAUCUAGUCGUAGAGACUAGGUGCCAUCACAAUGGUUCACGGAGGGCGGACCGGGGUCGUGACAAUUUGGUGUCAAUGCUCUAGGUUCAUAGGAGUCAUGGAUCACAAGCCGGUUUAUUAGUGUCUCGUUGAUCGGUACGGAGACGUAUGUACUUAUCUACGGGAGGCUAUGUAAUCAUUAUGAAAAGUCCACUUCAUUUGAUUUCCCUGUCGUGCGAGAUUUUUACAUCACAAAUUCUGAACAUUUCUCUUCUAUUCUCUCACUGACGGUGAGGCACACACUACCAGAAAUUAUCAGGCACCCGUGCCCCUGCGAGAGUUGCCAGAAGUCGGGGCCGUGGUAGAGGCCCAGGACGUGCACGCGAUGUAGCAAGAGCACCCAUGUGAGCUAUCACCGAGGAGCCACUAGCAAUUCCAGCCAGAGCCCAGGUACCGAUGCACCUACUGCUACUACUUCUCCAGCCUUUCAAGAGACAUUUGCACAGUUCUGAGCAUGUUUGGUACGUUAGUUCAGGUGGCGCCGAGUUGAAGACAGGUGGGUCCAAGAGAGAAAGGAUAGAAGAGGUUAGGAGAAAAAGUAUGGGGAAGUAAGAAGACCUCAUAAACUGGAGAGACCCAUUGGUCCUUAUUUUUGAGGAAGGGUAUGGCAUGGUAGAAGUUUUGUGGGUCAGCCAACUAAGUUUGCAUCUCAGAUUUCACACAGUGUUCCAGGUGUUCAGGGGUCUUGGGGUACUUGUACCGAAUAGUUCCCACUGCCAUAUCCUCCCAAAGCUUGUUUUGAGUGUGGUGACAUACGCCAUAUGGUGAGGAAUUGCCCCAGACAUGGGAGGAGUGCACCUCCAUAGACUUCUUAGCCGCAGCACACUCUGCUGAGUUCUCAGGCUAUGAUUACAGCUCCAGUUGCUACCCCACCUACUCAGCCAGCUAGAGGUGGAGGUCGGGGAGGUAGAGGUCACCCUCGAGGGGGAGACCAAGCUAGAUACUAUGCCUUUCCUUCCUGUACCGAGGCUGUUACCUCCGAUUCUGUCAUUACAGGUAUUAUAUUGGUUUGCCAUAGAGAUGCAUCAGUUCUAUUUGAUCCAGGCUCUACUUACUCUUAUGUGUCUUCUUAUUUUAAUCCGCAUCUGGGUGUAUCUCUUGAUUCUUUGAGUUCCCCUAUUUAUGUUUCUACUCCUGUGGNNNNNNNNNNNNNNNNNNNNNNNNNUGUGUUUCCAGCUGAUCUUCUAGGCAUGCCGCCUGAUAGAGAUAUUGAUUUUGGUAUUGAUCUGUUGCCGGGCACUCAGCCCAUUUCUACUCCUCCGUAUCGUAUGGCUCCUCCUGAGUUGAAGGAGUUGAAGGAUCAGUUACAGGAAUUGCUUGAUAAGGGUUUUAUUCAGCCCAGUGUAUCACCUUGGGGUGCUCCUAUCUUGUUUGUAAAGAAAAAGGAUGGUUCUAUGCGUAUGUGUAUUGAUUAUCGCUAGUUGAACAAGGUUAUAGUGAAGAUCCGCUAUCCUUUGCCUAGUAUUGAUGAUCUGUUUGACCAGCUUCAGGGCGCACAAGAGUUUUCUAAGAUUGAUUUGCGCUCAGGUUACCAUCAGUUGAAGAUUCGGGAGCCAGAUAUCCCGAAGACUACUUUCAGGACUCGGUAUGGUCAUUACGAGUUCCUUGUCAUGCAUUUGGGCUGACUAAUUCCCCAACAACCUUUAUUCAUUUGAUGCACAGUGUAUUCCGGACAUAUCUUGACUCGUUCGUCAUUGUCUUUAUUGAUGAUAUUCUGGUGUAUUCCCGGAGUUGGGAAGAUCAUGAGAAGCACUUGAGGAUUUUGCUUCAGACUCUGAGAGAGAGAGGAAGUUAUAUGCUAAGUUCUUGAAAUGUGAGUUUUGGUUAGACUCAGUGGCAUUCUUAGGCCACGUGGUAUCGAGUGAGGGUAUUCAGGUGGAUCCGAAGAAGAUAAAGGCCGUGCAGAGUUGGCCCAGACCAUCCUCAGCUACUGAGAUCAGCAGUUUCCUUGGCUUGGCGGGCUACUACCGUCAUUUUGUGAACGCGACUGCCCUCUCGAGAACGUGAAGAGUUUUGGGAUCUAGAGAGUAGUCAGUCUGAUACUCUAUGUGAACGCAAGCCUUGGCUCGUAAACACGAAGGCAAGGGGGAUAAAGCCUUCCCGAAUGUGAAGAAUACAUAGCGAAAGCAUAGGCUUUCUGGCCGCUGUUCUCUGCGAACGCGUCAGGUGCUUCACGAGCGCGAAUAACAACUAACACCCAGGUAUUAAAAUAUCUAAAAGUCGGGAUUUGAACCAUUUUCACCAUUUUCAAGUUACAGCUCGGCCUAGAAGCUAUUUUGAAUAUGUUUUUCAUCCCAACUUCAUUGGUUAGUAAAUUUUAACUUGUGUUAUUACAUUUCUAUGAUCACCCAUUAAUUUUACCUUUAAUCUAGGAUUUUUUAUGGUAGAAAUUGGGGAUUUGGAAAAAUUGUGAUUUAGAACUCGAAUUGAUGUCAAAUUUCAAAAUAAAACAUAUAACCAGGUUUGGGGUGAAUGGGUAAUUGAAUUUUGGUCCGAAAAUCAGGUUUGGACCAAGUGGAUCCGGGGUUAAUUUUUGUUGACUUUUUUCAAAUUCCUCAAAGAUUGAAUCUCUUUCACUCAUGGGUAAAUUCCAAAGCCUAUUUUGAAUUAUUUGACAUGUAUUUGUAUAGAUUUGAUUGGUUUUGAGGCUAAUUCUAAAGGAAAAGUCAUGGUUGAGCAUUGAUUUGGUUGCGGAGUGAGGUAAGUAUCGUGGUUAGCUUUGAUUUGAAGGAUUAGGACUUGUUGGUCUAUUUGCUAUGUGAAUUAUGUGUGGGGGCGGCAUAUAUUUAAGGUGAAAAGUAUAUAUAUAUAUGUUGUUAUCGGGUUAAAGCAUGCGGGUGAAAAUUAUUUUAUUAUAUUAUGUUAUUUCCAUGACUAUGUUUCCCAUGUUGUGGUUUGAUUAUUACUUUUUUUAAUGUUAGCUUUAAUAUCUAUUGAUUAUUUUGAAGUUGUUAGAAUUUUGAAAGUUUAGAUGAAUUAUCAUUACACUAAGGUUGAAGUGGAAUAGCUUCCAACUUUGCUUUGCUAUUUUGAAUUAAUGUUGUUGAUUGGUGAGGAAGAGUGAAAAGCAUAAAAGGUGUUUUCGAGCCUUAUUUGCAUACAAUAUAAUUUAUUUGCGAGAUUGUGAGAAUAAAAUCACAAAGGACGAUACCGUGUAUUUUUUGCUUAGUAUCACUUAUCACAUGAUGUGAGGUUGAGAAUAAUAACAUGAAAGGUAAUGUCGUGCCAUUUUAUUUAUGAUAUUACAUGGUGGGGACGAGAGUAAAAGCACGAAGGGUGAUGCAGUGUCAUGAGUGAUUUCUUUGAUUUAUUUGGAUACCGGUUUGAUAAUUUACGUGGCUGAAUUAUUAUUAUUCCUUUUCGGAAAGAGGUUAUGUACGUGUCGUUCUUUCUGUAUUUCCCUCUUUACAUGUUCCCUCCCAGUUAAUACUUUAAUUGUCUUUCUUGUUAUUAUGUUGCUUUAUAUAUAUAUACUUGUAUAGAUUUUACGUAGGUGUCUUAUUAUAGCGUCGUCACUACCUCGUGUGGGUUAGGCUCGAUACUUACAAAAUACAUUGGUCGGUUGUAAUCAUGAUACACUUCUGCACUUCUUGUACAGAUACUGGUGUUGGUCCCAAUGGCAUUUAGUGGUGUCUGUGCUCGGAUUCAGCUGCAUAAGAGACUUGAGGUAUAGCUGCACGGCAUCUGCAGCCCUGAAGUCCCUUUCUUUACCAUGUUUACUGUUUAUUUAGUUUCAAGCAGUUGUAUAUUUGUUCAGACUUUAUCUAUAGUUGUCACGACCCAAACAUAUGGGCCACGAUUGGUGCCUGAGUCCUACCUGUCAAACACCCCUAAGCAUGCGUCUAGGAUGUGAACCUGUAUAACAUCUGUUGAAUUACGAAGAUAACAUACAUGCAGAAAACCUACCAACAAGGCAUAUGUAUGUAUAUAUGCAGAAUACGGUGGGCGAGCAUGCAAGGCUACAAUAGAUAACUAUACAUUCAAUAACUAAAAGACAACAAGGCCACAUACAAUCCAACUAGACAUAUUGUCUACAGACCUCUAAUGGAAACAUAACUGUACAAAGAUGGAACUAAUCCACGUCAUUCCCUCUAUAUAUAUAUAUAAACAUAUCAUACCAAAAUCAAAAGCAGCUCCGGAUCAAGCAGAGCACACCAACUCUCGCUGAAUAGGGAUCCUAAGAUGGGGGACCAUCGGCUUGCCUACCCGCACCUACGGGCAUGUAACACAGGCCCCAUGAAAUAGGGCCUUAGUACGAAAAAUGUACAGAGUAUGUAAGGCAUGAAAAUUAGUACGUAAAAGACAUAGAUGAAACAUGGAGUAUAGAAACACGUCUUUAAAUCUGAAUAACUUUGUAAAUUCUAAAACAUUUAUAAUGUCAUGCACGUGCGUAUAAAUAUCGUGCCAUGCAUAGGUAUGGGUGUACACUAUAUCAUCAAGCUACUAAGGGCAUCCCAUCAUAUCAUCUCGAACAUUGUGGACAACAUCAUCAACAUAUACCAGCUGAUCAGGUGGUGGUGGGUAUAGAACGCCGUAACCAUUUCCCAUAUCCCAUAUACAUAUAUUUACACAUAUACGCGUAUAUAAUGCCAUCUGGUCAUGAGUCAAUGCACAUGCAUAAAUGGGUAAAAUGCAUGAAAAAUACGUAAAUUCUCAAUAUUCAUUCCGGAUAAACUUUUUUUCAACUGCGUAUUAUUUUAAAACCCAUGAACAGAAGAUAAUAAUAAUUCUUAUGGGGAAUCAAGAAUAUAGACACCCCUAGUAUCUCUAUGAAUAGAGUAAUUUAUAGACACUCUACAUUUGCUCAUUUCUUUAGUAUAAUUUGGACCAUGCCAAAAGAAAGAAGGGAUGACCUUAACAUCCUUGAGUUGAUUCUCUUGACAAUCCUCCAACACGCGUUAAUUGCGACAAAAUACGGAACAAGUUAUAUGAAGAGCCUGAAGCAAUAACAUUGCUUAUGCAGAGACCAUAUUGGUUGAUCCUUUUCCUUAAGCAACUUAUGAAAUGACAUGCUUGAAUGGAACUCUUUAGAACAAAAACGUUACUGAUGUUAUGGAAAGGUUUGCUGGAAUGCUUUCAUAAGAUUGUUAUCUCCCGUGGUUCAUCAAACUCAACUAAUUUUUAAUUUUUUUGUUGCAGCUGAUACAUGUAAAGGAUGAGACAUCAAAUAGAGAAUUGUAUAACUGCAAAUAAGAAGCCAUAAAGAAAACUUCUCGAUUGCAUGAUAUAGUAGAGUUUAAUGUAGGAAUUUCUUCAUUUUUCAACAACAAUCUGAACCGUCUUUUGUAUUAUAGACCUUAGAAAGGUUGAUAUUUGGAAUCUCAAUAUCUGCCCAAAGAUAGUAGUAGUUUCUAGUAAGCUAGGUGGCCCCACAUAGCAAGCUUAGUUUCACUUAAGGUAUGACACAUUUUCUAUCUUCAUGAAUAGUCAUUAGGAAAUUUAAGAGGGCUUGCCACGUGGGGGGUGUAAGUCUUUGUAAUGACCCGACCGGUCGUUUUGAGCUUUAGCGCGUUCUUCGGCGGUUUGAGGCUAUGAGCAGCUUCACUUCAGGAAUUAUGACUUGUACGCAUGGUCGGAAUUAAAUUUCGGGAAGUUCGGAGUUGAUUUGGAAAGAAAAUUCUCAAUUCGGAAGCUUUAAGGUGAAAGAAUAGACUAAGACUGGAAUUUUUAGUAAACGACCUUGUAAUCGGGAUUCGAAGGUUCCAACAUGUUAGUAUGAUGAUUUCGGACUUGGGCUUAUGUCCGGAUCGAGGUUUGGAAGACCCGAAAAUGUUUCGGCACCUAUUGUGGAAGUUGGCAUUUUUGAAAGAAUUUCAUAAGUUUGGGUUGAAGUGCAUUUCAGUGUUAUCGAUGUCCGUUUGGGAUUCCGAGUCUGGGAAUAACUCUAUAUGGUGAUUCUGGUAUUGGAAGCGCGAUCGAAAGUGAAUUCGGAGGUCCGUGGGUCAUUUGGCUAAAGAUAGAAAUUUGAAGGUUUUUGAGGAGUUAGACCGGAAGUGGACUUUUUGAUAUCGGGGUCGGAUUCCGAUUUCGGAAGUUGGAGUAGGUCCGUAAUAUUGAAUAUGACUUGUGUGCAAAAUUUGAGGUGAAUCGGACGUGAUUUGAUAGGUUUCGGCAUCGCAUAUAGAAGUUUGAAAUACUAAAGUUCAUUAAUCUUGGAUUGGAGUGUGAUUCAUGGUUUUAUUGUUGUUUGAUAAAAUGUGAGGCCUCGACUAAGUCCGUGAUAUGUUUUGAGACUUGUUGGUAUGUUCGGACAGGGUCCCGAGGGGCUCGGGUGAGUUUCGCGGUGGUUUCGGACCAUUUCUAGACCAUUUUUAGAUGCUGGUUUUUUGGCUAGAGCAGUGUGCUAUGCGAUCGGGGGGAACUGGUCGCGAUCGCGAUGAGUAAAAUUGGAGAAAAUGGCCAGUGAUUCGCGAUCGCAGAAGGGCUUUCGCGAUCGCAUAGAGGAAAGUUUCUGCUGCACUGACCCGAUUUUGGAAGCUUGUAUCUCGCAAUCUAGAAGGAAUUUGGAGAUGAUCCAAAAACAAAAGUUGUAUCCCUUUGUGUCUAAUUUUCAGAAAAUCAAACCAUUUGGCAUUUGGAGUUGUUCACAAAAAGUUAUGAUUGGUACACUAUAGCCUAUCCAGGAAGAGUUUGGAAAUCGCGAAGAAGAAAUUUGUGUUGCACAUGGCUGAUUUUGGAAGCUUAUAUCUUGUAAUCUAUAAGGAAGUAUUAGAUGAGCAAAGCUUUAAAGUUAUAGUCCUUGGAUUCUAGUUUUCAAAAAGUUAAACCAUUUACAAUUUGGAAUUUCGUACAAAACGUUAUGGCCAUUAUACUAGAGACUGUCAGGAAGAACUGGGUAUUUUCCGUGAUCGCGAAGAGUAAAUACCUGGGCAGAAGCUAUAUUUCGAGGUUCAGCCAUUUUUAUCAUUUUUGGAGCUAUGGAGCUCGGAUUGAAGCAAUUUUUUAGGCGAUUUUCACCAUAUGGAUUGGGUUAAGUGUUCUAUAUCCGAAAGUAAUUAUACUUCAUGAUUCUAUAGUUUAUAUUCAUCUUUUAUUUCGCAUUUAAAUGGAAGAAAUUAUGAUUUUUGUAAAACUUUUCAAUAACGAAAAUUCAAGAUUUAGAGGUCAAGUUGUUAUCGGAAUUUGAUAAAAUUUGUAUGGUUGAACUCGUAUCGGAAUAUGUUUUCAGAUUUUGUGAGUUUUUUCGGAAUCCGGGCAAGUGGGCCCGAGGGCGAUUUUGUCAACUUUUUGAACGAAGUUAGGAAUUUAUCUAAAUUUAAUUGUUGUGAGUAUUAGAGCAUAUAUUAAUGGAUUUGCAUAAUUAUUGGCUAGUUUUGGAGCAUUGUGCAUCGAUUCGAGUCUUCAAAAGGGCGUGGAAUGCCGGUUAUGGAUCUUCGGAGUGAGGUGAGUCUCCUUUCUAACAUUGUAAGAGGGAAUUAUCCCCAUAGGUGAAUUAAUUGAAUAUGUGCUCUUAAUUGUAGGGGCUACGUAUGCACGAGGUGACGAAAGUCCGUGCGUAGCUACUAUUAUGCUUAUGUCCGGGUAGUUUAGGACCCAAAAAGCAUGCUUUACUUGUAAUAAUGGUAACCUUAUUGACAGUUUAAAUUGCUUUAAUUGCAUCAAAGUGGUAAAUGAUUUUCUAAAAGAGUUAAACUUCAUUUUCUCGGCUUGUAAAAGAGAAAUUCACACUUCCUUGAAUAAUUGUCUCCCUGAUGAAGGUUUGAUUGAAUGUUUGAAUGUGUGUUUCUAUGUGUACCUACGUUGCAUGCGUGAUUCGCGAGCGAGGUGAUUGUUUAUUUAUAUUUGACCGCAUAGCAUGUAUGAUUCGCGAGCGAGGUAAUAGAUGCAUCUAUGGUUCGCGCCGUUCGACCCUCGACAGUGCGCGUUUUACAUUUAAGUUGGAUCGGGCCGUACCACCUCGACAUGAUAUGCGCAUGCUUAUAGUGCUUGCCUGAGAAUUAUAAAUGUUGAUACUUGCCUUUUCUGGCCAGAGACAAAAAGAUAAAGAUAAUGAAAAGUAAAUCUUUGGAAAUCCUUUAUUAUUUGAGAAGUUGUUUACCUGUUUUUCGGCUUUGUGAGUUUAUUCUUGCUUUAUGACAUCCAUUAUUUUCUCACAUUUUUACUAUAUUAUCAUUGGACCACUAGUAAGUGUCGAAGUCGACCUCUCAUCUUUACUUCAUCUAGAUUAGAUGGGAUACUCACUAGGUACACGUUGUUUUAGUACUCAUACUACACUUCUUGUGCAUUUUUGUUGCACAGGUUCACGUGUGGCUAGUGGAUUAGUGGCAUUGCGGCAUGGUUGAUACGGAGACUUAGGUGAGCUGCAUUAUUCGAGAUGACCCGCAACCAGCAGAGUCUCCUUCAGAGUAUUGUAUUGUAUUUUUAUUUAUGUCCACUUUGUAUUCCGGACAGUUAUUGUGUUUUAUUUCAUUCCCUAGUAAAUGGUCAUGCACUCGUGACACCGGGUUCUUGGAUGAUUAUGGGGUAUCUUGUAUUUACUUCUUAACAUUAUAUUUAAUUUGAAAUGAAUACCUUUUACUAGUAAAAUUGAACGAAUAUCAUAGUUUUCAAAUUAUUAAAAUGAGAAUUUAAUUAAGUAUUUAUGGUUAGCUUGCCUGACAGCGAUGUCCGGCGCCAUCACGACCCUUAGUGGAUUUCGGGUCGUGACAACAUGGUAUCAGAGCACUAGGUUCCCUUAGCUCUCACGAGUCAUGAACAAUUCUAGUAUAGUCUCGCGGAUCGCUACGAAGACUUCUGUACUUAUCUUUGGGAGGCUACAUGGCUGUUAGGAGCACUUCCCUUCUUUAUUCCUCAUCGUGUGAUUUGAUUCCUUGGGGAUUAGCCCUUGUUUCCUUCCUACUCAACCUUACGUGACGCGAAUCGCUUGUUAUAAAUCGAGAAUUUAGGAAUUGUAAUGGUACUGCAAAUGCGGUGCGGGAUGUUAUUCCAGCAUAGUUGAUUGGGCUUUUGUUGUCACCUUGCAGAAGGAUAUUCUGUCAUUUUAGUUAGGUAGCUGCAUUUCUGAGAGCUUUGAGGCUAUGCACAGAUUGAUAUGAUUUCUCAUGAUUGGUUAUUGCACGGUAUUGACGUGGUGAUAGGAUUCUUGCGUAUGUACUGGGGAAGUAAACGACUUGAAAGGAGGUCUACUCAGUGCGUGAUUCAGAUAUUCAGUAUUUUAUUCUCAGCAAAGGAAGGGCAAUCGGACUAUGAAUGUUCAGGUUUGGGUUGAUAGAUGACGAGACUUGGUGUUUUCAAGUGUGACGAAAUUUUCAUCUGGGACAUGGUAUCAUCGUCCUGGAUUGUAUGUGUUAAGUUCACCGGUGUUAUAACCCUCUACGAUUCGCCUAUGUGGCGGGAUAUUGUGAAAUGAUAUAGGAGAAGCGACUGCCAAAGAUUGCGGUGUGUAGUGGUUCAGGAUUGAAUCGGUGUUUCUAAUGUUGAUGGCUCGAGAAAGAUGAUCUUUAGAAAGGUUUAAAGAUAGUAGCGAUUUGUGGGUUCAAGUGCUACGAAGAUAGAUUUUAUUUAAGGCAGCAACUGUGCAGCAAAGGAUGAGGAAGGUCAUGUGGGAGUGCUAGGCGAUGGUUAAAAUUUCUAGAAGGCCAAGUAUAAGAAGCGAAGGUUGAGUAGUUGAUUAAAGGAGUGAGUUAUGCCAAAGUGAGAGAGUGGCGGAGUUGCAUAUGGGUUUUGUGACAGGAUAACUACACAUCUUGAGGGAAAGUUUAGAGUGAAUUGGGAUUCAUAGUGGUCAGUGACUGGGUCUGCGAGCUCGAUUUGAAAUAUUGGCUAUCAUACGACGGGAAAUUGGGUGCAUAGAAAGGAGUUGCUUGAUAUGGAGAAGGAUACAACAUGACUUAGGAUUCAGAGUGUUUAUGAAAUGCUAACGGAAGGAUUUCGAGGAAUCGGGCAGUUUGAUUGCGCAAGGUCAUGUCAAUAAAAGAUAAAGAAUCUUGGUGGGUUCUAGAGUUGUGUAAUAGUGGCUUCAAGCUAAGUGGGAGAGUCCCACCGCCUACGGUUGGAUUGCAUGGUCGUCUAUUAGUGAGAUUUCUUGAUUUUAGCAUAUUGGUAGGCUAUUUCAGUUAAGGGAAUCGAGUAUAAGUGGUAAUUUGAGCAAAUGAAUUAUUAACGGUGUGUUGUGGUUGGCCUUAUUGACCCAUGUUUAGACUUGGGGGAAGGUUCAGGAUUAAUGCUUUGUAUAGAUGCGAGUUUCAAGGAAACUGAUUCGGCCGGGUGCUUCGUCAAGAGGGUGUUCAUAUGCUAGAAGAUUCAUGGAUUUGAUUAUAUUCGGUACCAAGUCAGAGUGAGUGGAUCUCAACAACGGCCCUAGGGAAUUCAAAUGAUUUAAAAAAAUGCGGCACCUAAGGAGUCAAGCCCGCAAAAUGGUUAAGAAUCGAGCUUUUGUAACAGCUUAUGAUAAGAGGCUCAGAAUGUUCUACGAUGCUUUUCACUUGCAGUGUAGCAUUUGGAGGAGUUAUCAUAAGACUUUGGAUUUGUAAAGGAGUUAUCAGAACGGGUGUAUCAGUUGAACAUGCGAAUGUGCGUGCAAGUAGUAUAUGAAACGAUUCAUAUGUUUGGAGACAGGGUGGUCUCAUGGAAUGGAGUCACUCAAGGUGAGUGCGGAUUCAGGUUGGCGAUGUAAGGUAUGGAGCUAUUAUUAUCUCUAAGGCAAGUUAAGGAUGAACUAGAAGAAGAUAGAUUGGUUAGCCAUGGUUGAAUCGGUGUAGUGAUGGCGAUGCGUGCGGGAUUCGACGGCUACCGUAAUUGAUUAUAUUUGGAAGUAUUCAAGUAUUAUAGCCUGUAUGUGCAGGCGGGUCCCGGAAAGGCUAUGGUGGCUUAGACCACUACUUAGAGAUUUGCAUAUUCUACGGUUAUGAGAAUUCACUUGUGUGUUGCUAUGUUUCUCCUGAAGUGAGUUAAGUGAAAAGUUUUUAUAUGAUGAAGUGUUAAUCUAUUAGUUCUUCUGGGGUUAUGAUGAAAAUCGUGUUAUAUCAUAUAUGGGCAUGUUGGGUGCAGGGAGUGGUAUGGAAUUUGAAGUGAGGAUCAAGGUUGCGAUUCGGUGUUGACAAGGAUGUCACGAGCUCGGAUGAGCAGGAAAGGAGUUUGGAUGUUUAAAGUAUGUUGGUAUUGUCCUCAGCGUCACCUGAGAACGGUGUUUUGUGAAAAAGUCUUUGCAUCCUGGUUAAGGAUUCUUGAUCGCUUUUCAGCAUUAGUGCGGGCGGUGGUUUGGAUGUACAAACAUGUUAUCUGUUACGAAAGGUCGUGGGAGCGUGCCCUACGGGAAGGUUGUAUAAGUGUGGCAUAUAAUCACAUGAUUGAUUGAAGAAUUAAACCAAGUAUGAAGAUUGUGGUGAUAUUGUUAAUUUGAGAAUUUAUGCCUGGAGGGCACUCAGUUUAUUGGGUUGUGGAGUGUGGAGGAUUACUCUAGUUAUGAUGGUUGUUCUUGUGUGUUAUGAGAAAAAGGGGGGUCAUUAUGGACCUUUGAAAGGUUAUUAGCCUAGUUUAGUGUGAUCAGAAUCAGCUUGAGGUCUGUGGAUGGAUUUAAAUGUGGAUAUGGGCUCUAUAUCAAGCCAGAUGUGUUCAUUUCAGCAAUCCACUCCCUAUGGAAGAGUAGUCGAGGUGUUAUUUCAUAGUCAGCUAUUUCAUGUAAUGAUAUAUUACGCCAUGUAAGUUGUGAGACGGCUUGGUGAAUUUCUUAUGUGAUAAGGUUACACGUAGAGAUGAUGUUAUAUGAGUAGGAUGGCUAUUGAGAUUCAGAUCGUAUAUCGCACCUCAGUUGUGCUUGAGUUUUGUAGCUUAUGGCGCUAUAUGUCUCACCAGGGAUGGUAUUAUGCACUUAGCAUGCUUGUGUUUGAUAAUUGAUAUUUUGUUGUAAUGAGAAAUUUAUCUCGAUGUAUAUCUCCUUAUGUGAAUUCUAUGUGUGGAUCAGGUGGCACGCCGCCAUGGGUAUGUUAUUUGGAUCAGGUUGCACGCCGCAACAGUGUAAUGUUGAGUACAGUUUUCUAUAUGCUAUUUUUGUGUGCCUUGUUUCCUAUUUUCUUAAGAAAGUCCAUAUUAGUGCGUAAGUUGAGUAGUCCCUUCCAGAGUUCGUUUUCCUUUUAUCAUAUUCGAGUUCAUAGCCUAUUGGCACAUUGUGGCAUCAUAUUAGACUUUUGACCCUGUCCGGGUGGCUUAUUGCCUGAGCAAUUCGUACUGGGUGAGACGAGAUCAUUGGAUUUAGGAUCAGUGCAAUCUGAUUAUAUGAAGUAUAUUGAGGAGAAAUGAUCAUUACUUGGUUCAAAAUGAGGUGACGGUUCUUGUCAGGAGUAUAGACCCAAUGAUUUGUUGACUCAGCCGUUGGUUAUAAGUUUUUACACACCUCUUCCAUCAUGGCAGUGUUGCAAGAGUUGGAACAAGACUUAUAUGUGUCAUGAGGUGUGUUGUGAGCGUCAGAUUUGUAGAAUUUCGGCGGUUAUUAUCAGAGGAUAUUAUUAUGGUCAUGUAGGUUAUGCAAUACAUAGUGUGGAUUCAGCAAAGGUAUGCAAUCAUGUAUGGGUGCCUCGUGUAGUGAUUGAUACAUUGUUCGUAUGUUGGAAGCGGGCCUGACAGAGAAUUCCGGAUGUUGAAAUUUGGCUCUAAGGCUUAUUUGCCUAAAUUAAAGAGAAUAUCUUCGGGUUUGAUCGAGCUAAUGUGCUCAACUGAGUUGUGGUAGCACGGGUAGGUGCACGAGGUGUUAAACAGUGAUUUCGGACAACUCCUGCGCAGUUUUUAGCACGUUCGAGGACGAACGUAUGUUUAAGUGGGAGAGAAUAUAAUGACCCGACCGGUCAUUUUGAGCUUUAGCGCGUUCUUCGGCAAUUUGAGGCCAUGAGAAGCUUCACUUCAGGCAUUAUGACUUGUAUGCAUGGUCGGAAUUGAAUUUCGGGAAGUUCGGAGUUGAUUUGGAAAGAAAAUUCUCAAUUCAGAAGCUUUAAGGUGAAAGAAUGGACUAAGAUUGGAUUUUUAAGUAAAUGACUUCGGAAUCGGGAUUCGAAGGUUCCAACAGGUUCGUAUUAUGAUUUCGGACUUGGGCGUAUGUUCGGAUCGGGUUUUGGAAGGCCCGAAAAUGUUUUGACACCUAUUGUAGAAGUUGGCAUUUUUGAAAGAAUUUCAUAAGUUUGGGUUGAAGUGCAUCUCAGUGUUAUCGAUGUCCGUUUGGGAUUCUGAGUCUGAGAAUAGCUCCGUAUGGUGAUUUUGGUAUUGGGAGUGCGAUCGGAAGUGAAUUCGGAGGUCCGUAGGUCAUUUUGGAGUCAUAUGGCUAAAGAUAGAAAUUUGAAGGCUUUUGAGGAGUUUGACCGGAAGUGGACUUUUUGAUAUCGGGCUCGGAUUCUGAUUCCGGAAGUUGGAUUAGGUCUGUAAUGUUGAAUAUGACUUGUGUGCAAAAUUUGAGGUCAAUCGGACGUGAUUUGAUAGGUUUCGGCAUCGAAUAUAGAAGUUUGAAAUUUUAAAGUUAAUUAAGUUUGGAUUGGAGUGCGAUUCAUGGUUUUAUCGUUGUUUGAUGUGAUUUGAGGCCUCAACUAAGUCUGUGAUACGUGUUGAGACUUGUUGGUAUGUUUGGACGGGGUCCCGAGGGGCUCGUGUGAGUUUCGGAGUGGUUUCGGACCAUUUCAAGACCAUUUUUAGUUGCUGAUUUUUGCUACAGCAGUGUGCUACAUGAUUGCGGGGAACUAGUCGCGAUCGCGAUGAGUAAAAUGGGAGAACUAGUCGCUACAAGACCAUUUUUAGCCCUUUGUGUCUAAUUUUCAGCAAAUGAAACCAAUUAGCAUUUGGAGUUGUGUACAAAAUGUUAUGAGUGGUACACUACAGCCUAUCCUGGAAGAGUUUGGAAAUCGCGAAGAAGAAAUUUGUGUUGCACAGGGCUAACUUUGGAAGCUUAUAUCUUGUAAUCUAUAAGGAAAUGGUAGAUUAGCAAAGCAUUAAAGUUAUAGUCCUUGGAGUCUAGUUUUCAAAAAGUUAAGCCAUUUGCAAUUUGGAAUUUUGUACAAAAGGUUAUGGACAUUAUACUAGAGACUGUCUGGAAGAGCUGGGCAUUUGUUUUUCGCGAUCGUGAGGCAUUUUCCGCGAUUGCGAAAGGCAAAUCUUGGGCUGAGAAAUGUUGUGCUUUGCGAUUGCAAAGCAUUUUCCGCGAUCGCGAAGAGUAAAUACCUGGGCAGAAGCUAUAUUUCGAGGUUUCAACCAUUUUUAUCACAUUUGGAGCUAUGGAGCUCGGAUUGAAGCGAUUAUGAGGAGAUUUUCAUCAUAUGGAUUUGGGUAAGUGUUCUAUAUCCGAAUGUAAUUAUAAUUCAUGAUUUUAUGGUUAUAUUCAUGUUUUAUUUCGGAUUUGAAUGGAAGAAAUCAAGAUUUUUUUAAAACUUUUCAAGAACGAAAAUUCAAGAUUUGGAGGUCAAGUUGUUAUCGAAAUUUGAUAAAAUUUGUAUAGUUGAACUCGUAUAAGAAUGGAUUUCCAUAUUUUGUGAGUUUUUUCGGAAUCCGGGUAUGUGGGCCCGAGGGCAAUUUUGUCAACUUUCUGAACAAAGUUAGAAAUUUAUCUAAAUUGAAAUGUUGUGAGUAUUAGAGCAUAUAUUAAUGGAUUUGCAUAAUUAUUGGCUAGUUUUGGAGCAUUGUGCAUCAAUUCGAGUCUUCGAAAGGGUGUGGAAUGCCGGUUAUGGAUAUUUCGGAGCGAGGUGAGUCUCCUUUCUAACCUUGUAAGAGGGAAUUAUCUCCAUAGGUGAAUUAAUUGAAUAUGUGAUCCUAAUUGUGGGGGCUACGUACACACGAGGUGACGAGAGUCCGUGCAUAGCUACUAUUAUGCUUAUGUCCAGGUAGUUUAGGACCCAAAAAACAUGCUUUACUUGUAAUAAUGAUAACCUUAUUGACAGUUUAAAUUGCUUUAAUUGAAUCAAAGUGGUAAAUGAUUUUCUAAAAGAGUUAAACUUCAUUUUCUCGGCUUGUAAAAGAGAAAUUGACACUUCCUUGAAUAAUUGUCUCCCUAAUGAAGUUUUGAUUGACUGUUUGAACGUGUUUUUUAUGUAUACCUGCGUCACAUAUAUGAUUCGCGAGCAGGGUGAUUGUUUAUUUAUAUUUGACCGCGUCGUACGUAUGAUUCGCGAGCGGGGUAAUAGAUGCAUCUAUGGUUUGCACCGUUCGACCCUCGGUAGUGCACAUUUUACAUUUAUAUUGGAUCGGGUCGUACGACCUUGACAUGAUAUUCACAUGCUUAUAUUGCUUGCCUGGGAAUUAUAAAUGUUGACACUUGCCUUUCCUGGCCAAAUACAAAAAGAUAAAGAUAAUGAAAAGUAAAUCUUUGGAAAUCCUUUAUUAUUUAAGAAGUUGUUUACUUGCUUUCCGGCUUUAUGAGUAUAUUCUUGCUUUAUAAAAUCCAUGAUUUUCUCACAUUUUUACUAUAUUAUCAUUGGACCACUAGUAAGUGUCGAAGUCGACCUCUCGUCUCUACUUCUUCGAGAUUAGACGAGAUACUCACUGGGUACACGUGGUUUUCGUACUCAUACGACACUUGUUGUGCAUUUUUGUUGCACAGGUUCACGUGUGGCUAAUGGAUUAGUGGCAUAGCGGCAUGGUUGAUACAGAGACUUUGGUGAGCUGCAUUAUNNNNNNNNNNNUUUUCAUUUCUGUCCACUUUGUAUUCCAGACAGUUACUGUGUUUUAUUUCAUUCCCUAGUAAAUGUUCAUGCACUCGUGACACCUGGUUCUGGGAUGAUUAUGGGGUAUCUUGUAUUUACUUCUUAACAUUAUAUUUAAUUUGAAAUGACUACAUUUUACUAGUAAAAUUGAAAAAAAAAUCAUAGUUUUCAAAUUAUUAAAAUGAGAAUUUAAUUAAGUAUUUAUGGUUGGCUUGCCUGACAGCGGUGUCCGGCGCCAUCACAACCCUUAGUGGAUUUCGGGUAGUGACAGUCUUAUCAUAAGCUUAUUUUAUUAUCUAACUACCCACUAAUUUUAAUUAACUUAUUAAUUUCCCCAUUAACCAAUAAUCAACCAAUUGCCCAUAUAAUUAAGGACUAUCUCUGUGAUGAUCCGACUGGUUGUUUUAAGAAUUUACGCCCGAUCACCUAUUAACUGCUUUCCCUGAGUUUAUUUUUGCUAUUUUGAUUUGCCUGGAUGUUCGGUUUUGAGUUGCGGAGAGUUUUGGGACACUAAGUCCCUAAAUGAGAGCUUAAAUGUUGGAAAGUUGACUGUAGUCCAAACAGUGUGAGGACGGCCUUGGAAUGGAAAUCUGAUGGUUCUGUUAGCUCUGUUGAGUGAUUUUGGGAUUAGAGGCAUGUUCGGAUCAUGUUUUGGAGGUCCGUAGCUAAUUUAGGCUUGAAAUGCCGAAAGUUGAAUUUUUAAAGUUUCCGGUUCAAUAUUGAGAUUUUGAUCCGAGGGUCGAAAUGGAAUUUCUGGAAGUUGGAGUAGCUCUGCAGUGUUGAAUGUUACCUUUGUGCAAAAGUUUAGGUUAUUCGGACGAGGUUUGAUAGACUUUUUGAUCAAAAGCAUAUUCAUAGAAUUUUUGGAGUUCUUAGGCUUGAAUCCGAUGAAAAAUAGGUGUUUUUGUGUUGUUUUGAGCAUUCCGAAGGUUGAAGCAAGUUUUAGUGAAGUUAUGAGAUAUGUCGGUAGGUUUGGUUGAGGUCCCGGGGGCCUCGAGUGUGUUUCGGAUGCUCAACGGACCAUUUUUGGACUUGGGAAAGAUUGCAGAUUAUCUACUGUUGUGUUGCAGAGAAAACAUUCAUCGCAUUUGCGAGAGGGUCUAGCGUUCACGUAGAACAUCUGGGUGAAGCAACUGAAUCGUGCUUCGCGUUCGCGAUGAUGUCCCGUGUUCGCGAAGGUGUGGACAAGUUGGUCUUCACGUUCGCGAUAUGGUCCUCACGUUUGCACAGGGUCUGCCAGUGUAAGCUAAGUGUUCGCGAGUGGACCUCGCGUUCGCGUUCGCGAAAGAGAAAGUUGGCCAAUAGGAUUUUUGUGCAUCGCGUUCGCGAAGAAGAACGCGUCUAGGCAGAAUAUAAAAUUUCAAAGUCGAGGGUUUAGCCAUUUUAGUGAAAAUUAAAUCUUGGGAGCUCGGAUUUGAGCGAGGUUUUGAGAUAUUUUCAGAGAUAUCGAUUGGGUAAUGAUUCUUAAAUACUUUUUGCUUUUAACCCAUUAAUCUAAACAUGAAUUCAUCAUUUAAUUUCGGAUUGGUGAUGAAAAUUUGGGUAAAGUUGGAAGAAAGUUCUUAGACCUAGAAUUCGACUUUAGAUUGGGAAUUUGACUUUGGAUUUGGAUAAUUUUGGUAUGCAUGAACUUGUGAGAGCGUGAGGAUUAUGAAAAUAUAAAUUUUACCCGAUUCCGAGAUGUGGGCCCGAGGGCAUUUUGGUCAUUUUACCUAAUUUUGCGUAUUUACUUAGAAUUUCUUUGUAAAAUUAGUUACUUGAAGUGUUAUUUACAUUAUGAAAUUGAAUUAAAUAGAUUUGGGCCACUUGGAGUCGAGUACUCGUGGCAAGAGGAUGGUUUCAGAUUGAUUUGAGUUGGAUCGAUGUAAGUGGCUUGUCUAACCUUGUGUGGGGGACCUUUCCCCUUAGGAUUUGGUAUAUUUGGUAAUUGAAAAGCCUUGUACAUGAGGUGACGAGUGCAUAGUUGUGCUAAUUGUUGGAAAUCAGGUUUUCAUUAAGUAAUUACUAGUAUGUUUCAUUUCCUGUUUUUAUUACUCUCACUAUUUAGCUUGUUAUUAGCUUAGGAAUACAUGUCUAAGUGUUUUAAUUUCUUUAUUUGCUCAAAUUGCCUUACCUGAAUUCUGUGCAGCAUGCUAGGCUAGAAUUACUUGUUGCCUUAAUAUGAAAUUUGCCAUUUCUAAAUAUUUUCCUGUUGUUGCUGUGUAUUUACAUUGAGACUACGGAUGUGGGAUUCCGGUAGAUCCCCCUUGUCUGUUUAUUUGGGUCUACGGAUGUGGGUUUCCGGUAGAUCCCCCUACACAGUUAUAUGGAACUACGGGACUACACCUGGUAGAUUCCCCUAGUAUUUGGUAUUUAUAUUUGGGACUACGGAUUAGGAUUCCGGUAGAUCCCUGCGCACUGAUAGUUAGACUACGAGACGGGAUCCCGGGAGAUCUACUGGAUAGAUGUAAUUGGGACUACAUGAUGGUAUCCUGGAAGGUACCCCGGUUGUUAUCUCUAUGUUGAGUUGUAUUUCCUUUCCGUGAUUAUUUUGCCUUUGUUCUAAUUGUUAUUGCUCUUUCUAUUCUAUGUUAUUUCUUACUAUUCCACUUAAUUAUACUGUCUUGUUUUACACUAUUAUACUUUGUGUUUUAUUUAACCUCAGUAGGGCCUUCACCGUCCUCAUCACUACCCAACCGAGGUUAGGCUUGGCACUUACUGAGUACCGUUGUGGUGUACUCAUGCCCUUUCUGAACAUGUUUUUCAUGUGCAGAUCCAAGUACCUUGACUCAUUCUUACCAUCCUUGAGGCGAGGCGACCGUUCAGAGACUUCGAGGUAUAUCUGCCGUGUCCGCAAAUCGAGGAAUCUCUCUCCACUUUCUCUCUUAUAGUUACCGCCCUUCUGUAUUUAUUUUGUUUUAGACUAUUAUAGAGCUAGAGCACUAUGUAGUGAUCCUUAGCUUGUGAUUCAUGGGUUUCCGGGUCUUGGAGAUAUGUAUUGGUUUAUGAGAGUUAAAUAUUGUGUAUGCCGAGCGGCACUUUUAAACACUGUCUUUUUACUCGAAUUCUAUUUUAAAUUGUUUACUUCCGCAAAUUGGUUUAUUUUCCGCAAUUUAGGCUUACCUAGUCGUAGGGACUAGGUGCCAUCACGAUGGUUCACGGAGGGCGAACCGAGGUCGUGACAAGUUGGUAUCAAAACUCUAGGUUCAUAGGAGUCAUGAAUAUAGCCGGUUUAUUCGAGUCUCACUGAUCGGUACAGAGAUGUCUAUACUUAUAUACGAGAGGCUAUGUAACUGUUAGGAAAAUUUCACUUCAUUUGAUUUCCUUAUUGUGCGAUAUUUUGACAUCACAAUUCUAAACUUCUGUCUUCUAUUCUCUCAUAGAUGGUGAGUACACGUGCUACCCGAGAUGAUCAGGCACACGCACCCCCUACUACAGCCGUUAGAAACUAGGGCCGGGGCCGGGAUAGAGGCCGAGGACGCGCACGUGGUGUAGCCAGAGCACCUGCAUGAGCUGUCACCGAGGUACCACCAGCAGUUCCAGCCGGAGUCCAGGCACCUGACAUGCCUACUGUUAUUACUACUCCAGCUCUUCAGAAGACUCUGGCACAGUUCAUGAGAAUGUACACCACUUUGCCUUAGGGAGGGUUGCUUUCCCUUGCUGCAACUACAUCUCAGGCCGGGGGAGGAGUACAGACUCCCGUUUCCCGCACUCCUAUGUAGCGAGUGUAUGUUGAGCAGGUCCCUGAGAUUAUUCCUGUACAGCCUGCAGUCCGAGAUCAGCCCGAGGACAGGGCAACGGCUUCUGAGAAGGAGUAGAUGAGGCUUGAGAGGUU